rnacentral:rRNA from 1 species
GACGAACCGAGCGAACGUUGUUCGGAAUCACUGGGCUUAAAGGGCGCGUAGGCGGCCUGUUAAGUCGGACGUGAAAUCCCCGGGCUCAACCCGGGAACUGCGUCCGAUACUGGCAGGCUUGAAUCCGGGAGAGGGAUGUGGAAUUCCAGGUGUAGCGGUGAAAUGCGUAGAUAUCUGGAGGAACACCGGUGGCGAAGGCGGCAUCCUGGACCGGCAUUGACGCUGAGGCGCGAAAGCCAGGGGAGCAAACGGG